rnacentral:ncRNA from 1 species
CGCAUGGGGAAGCGAUCUCCUCAUGAGGCGACAUGCCAAAGAAUCGCGUCCGAUUGUUCCACAAGGACGCGCCAUG